rnacentral:rRNA from 1 species
GUGCCAGCCGCCGCGGUAAUACGUAGGGAGCUAGCGUUGUCCGGAAUCAUUGGGCGUAAAGCGCGCGUAGGCGGCCCGGUAAGUCCGCUGUGAAAGUCAAAGGCUCAACCUUUGAAUGUCAGCGGAUACUGCCGGGCUAGAGUCCGGAAGAGGCGAGUGGAACUCCUGGUGUAGCGGUGGAAUGCGCAGAUAUCAGGAAGAACACCAACGGCGAAGGCAGCUCGCUGGGACGGAACUGACGCUAAGGCGCGAAAGCGUGGGGAGCGAACAGGAUUAGAAACCCGUGUAGUCC